UCGAGCGGGGACUUCGGUCCUAGCGGCGAACGGGUGAGUAACGCGUGGGAACAUACCCUUUGGUACGGAAUAGCCUCUGGAAACGGAGAGUAAUACCGUAUGUGGUCGUAAGACGAAAGAUUUAUCGCCAAAGGAUUGGCCCGCGUUGGAUUAGGUAGUUGGUGGGGUAAUGGCCUACCAAGCCGACGAUCCAUAGCUGGUUUGAGAGGAUGAUCAGCCACACUGGGACUGAGACACGGCCCAGACUCCUACGGG
rnacentral:rRNA from 1 species